rnacentral:rRNA from 1 species
UACGGAGGGUGCGAGCGUUGUCCGGAAUUACUGGGCGUAGAGAGCUCGUAGGCGGUGUGUCACGUCGGCCGUGAAAACCUGCAGCUUAACUGUGGGCGUGCGGUCGAUACGGGCAUCACUGGAGUUCGGCAGGGGAGACUGGAAUUCCUGGUGUAGCGGUGAAAUGCGCAGAUAUCAGGAGGAACACCGGUGGCGAAGGCGGGUCUCUGGGCCGAUACUGACGCUGAGGAGCGAAAGCGUGGGGAGCAAACAGG